rnacentral:rRNA from 1 species
UAGGGAAUCUUCCGCAAUGGGCGAAAGCCUGACGGAGCAACGCCGCGUGAGUGAUGAAGGUCUUCGGAUCGUAAAACUCUGUUAUUAGGGAAGAACAAAUGUGUAAGUAACUAUGCACGUCUUGACGGUACCUAAUCAGAAAGCCACGGCUAACUACGUGCCAGCAGCCGCGGUAAUACGUAGGUGGCAAGCGUUAUCCGGAAUUAUUGGGCGUAAAGCGCGCGUAGGCGGUUUUUUAAGUCUGAUGUGAAAGCCCACGGCUCAACCUUGGGGGGUCAUGGGAAACUGUAAACCUUGAGUGCGGAAGAGGAAGGGGGAAUUCCAUGGUGGCAGUGAAAUGCGCAGAGAUAUGGAGGAACACCAGUGGCGAAGGCGACUUUCUGGUCUGUAACUGACGCUGAUGUGCGAAAGCGUGGGGAUCAAACAGG